rnacentral:rRNA from 1 species
GGAGGUUUGGCACCUCGAUGUCGGCUCAUCGCAUCCUGGGGCUGUAGUCGGUCCCAAGGGUUGGGCUGUUCGCCCAUUAAAGCGGUACGCGAGCUGGGUUCAGAACGUCGUGAGACAGUUCGGUCCCUAUCCGUCGUGGGCGUAGGAAAUUUGAGAGGAGCUGUCCUUAGUACGAGAGGACCGGGAUGGACAUACCUCUGGUGUACCAGUUGUCGUGCCAACGGCAUAGCUGGGUAGCUAUGUAUGGACGGGAUAAGUGCUGAAAGCAUCUAAGCAUGAAGCCCCCCUCGAGAUGAGAUUUCCCAACUUCGGUUAUAAGAUCCCUCAAAGAUGAUGAGGUGAAU